AUAGAUUAGAAAAGAGUAGCAAACAAAGUAGUAGUAAUAGACAAGGGUAAUGCAUGCAUUAUUUUUCUAAAUAACGACAACUAAAGGCGAGAAUGGAUAAUAAGUAGCAAGUAGAGGUCAUAGCAUAGAGUCUAUUCUGGCAGGCAAUCUUGUGAAGAAAUUGAGUGGAGCAGAUGGUAGGUUGUGAUGGAACCAUGGAUGUCUUAACACAUAAAAUCCAGUGACAAGAAUCACAACUCGAAAACCCAUGAAAUAGAGAACAAUGACAGCAAUCAAGCAGGAAAUAACAAACAGUUUGGUCGCUCUAGGGUCUCUCCAUGACAGCAAAGAGUCCAGCCUCUCCAGUUGAUUAGCUAUGUCACCAGCCACGUUCUGAAUACUUCCAGCAAUACUUUUCAAACGGUCAUACCUUAUCCGAACAAUAUCAGUUGGACGUAAAGUAGGGAAAGUAUCAAACUCCUCGUCCAGUUCAUCAGGAUGAACAUCAUCAGCACAAGAAAGACGAAUGUCCAUGAAGGGAGGAUGCCUAGGCCUAUAUCUAUAGUUCCAAACUACGAUUAAGGAGAGCGAGAGGAAAAUGGUAGGCAGAAUACACUCCGGAUAUAGAACUAGUAUCAAAUACAAGACAUGGAUCACAAGAGUCGUAAUGGGAUUUUUCCAAUUGCAAAUUUGAUCAAACCAUUUCCAAAUAGCAAUUAAUCCACCUAAAAACAUCCAUAAUUCUUAAAAAGUUGGCUCUGAUUUUCCUCAUACUCCACAUGUCAGACUUGACAUCUAACAUAUACUCCACUAUCUCUUUCCUCAAAGGCGGCUCAGCACGACUCAACCACAUAGAGACCAUCUGACUAGCCUGACGCCUCAAUUUGUCCAUCUUAGUUUGUCUGUCAUUCCAACUACCUUCAACAAUUAGUGGAUGAAUAUAGUGCAUCUUGGGUAACAGCGGCUGAGAGAACAAAUGCAUCAUAUUCAUUAACGAUGAGAAAGUAAACCUAACUGCCAAGUGAAUUUCGCCCAUCUUCUUUACCCCAGUAGAUUCAAAGACCAAUAGCGGAUAAGAAUUUGUGUAGACACAAUCUGUCUCGAGAGCUGAAAGACGGAUCCUGACCUUUCCAAUCCUCGAGUCCCUAGCCCGGCCUCCAGGUUUAUCUCCUCCAUGUAGAUGACAAUUAUCAAAUACACCAAUGGUUAUGACAGUGCAGGGAUCAAAUACUUCCCAAGUGUAUUGCUCGUUCCACCUGGGAGCAAGGCUAUCUAUAAUUGUCCUUGUUCGGGCCCACUUGUGCCCAUAUUUGACAACACAAUAGGCAUUUGUCGAAACCCUCCCAUCCUUUGUUUUCAUCGGCGGUAGUCCCUGAGCAUUCAGAAUACCCAAUUCUAGGACACCAAUGCUGGAUUUCUUCAACUGUUUUGCAGUUGGUCUAAUAUCACCACUGUAGUUUGUUGGUUCAUAAAGAACAUGGUAGCCUCCUUCUAAAACUAGGCUCAUGUGAAUCCUGCUUGCAAAGUUUGUUUCCUUCUCCUUUUCUCCCUCAACAAUAACAUGCUUUUCAAGAUUAUACCACUUGCUGUUCAUAGGUCUGUGGUCCAACCUCCUCUCAAUGUACUGCAAAUGAAUAAGACAUUUUCCAAGUAUUACAUCUUUGUUUGGUGCAACUCUAUCUUCCACGCUCAAAAUCAAUGGCUCCUCAAAUGGUUCUGCUGCUACAAAAAUCAAAUCCUCAUUCCACAUGGGAUUAAUAGUCUUGCUCCUGGAAACUUUGGUUAUCAAUUCCUGAUUUCCGAGGAUGGCCUUCACGUAAACUUCUGGAAACCUACUUCUGUCACUGGAAAUUAAGUCCUGAGCCUCAAUCACAUUAACUCUAAGGUACCACAGCUUUGGUGAGAGGUAAACCUUAGACCUUAUAUUCGCAAGAGCAUCAGCACCACUGACAGUGGCUGCAUCCGAAUGCCAAGAUUCUGCAAAGGCUUCAUCAGCUCGAGUACCCAUCCAAACAGUCAUCAUCAACUCUCCGUUAACUUUGCUACGACUUCCGUCCUCCAAUCUAUACCACAGCGGAACAAAAGGACUAUCCGGGGGGACCCUUUUAGGGAUCUCAUUCAAAUCAAACAUAACACGACCAACAGAAUCAUCCUUAUCUUUCACGUUCACCUCAAGAACGGAAACCUGAGUCUGAUCCAUUGGAAAUGCAAACACCUGCUUCCAUUCAGGAUUCGUUUUCUUCACAAAAUGACGAGUUGUACCACUAUAGUUUCCCAGCCUAACCUCAACGUAAGGAUUAAGAUCCUUCCCAGGUAAAUAUUUCGCCUUCACCACCCGGACAUAAAGAUACUGCAUUUGCUCAACCAAAUCACAGAGCCAAGUAAGCAUAUCACCAGUAAUCUUCCCUUCUACUUCUCCACCACAAUUUAGCCAAAUGUCCAACAGAUAACAAAAAAAAUCCUAAAUAAUAUCUCUGAGGAACAACUCAAAACUACACUAAUACUCAAGAAACUUCAUAUAUAACACAAUCCAAGUUUGUUUUAUCCUAAUUCUAACUUAAGGUUUAAAAAGAACCUCAUGAAGGAUAACCCCAAACUGCCAAAAUCAUUCACAAUCUCAGAUCUGGUUCAGCUGAAUGCUUCACCCUGCAAAACAUUUUUUAAGCUUAAAAAACCAUAUUUAUACAAAUAAGAUAUAGCAAGUACAAUGAAUAAAGUUUAUCAACAAACUCAAAGGUGGUCAGGUGAACACCCUUCACCGAAAAAUUAUAUCGUGUAUAUAAGUAUAAAUUGUUAAAUAUCACACUUUGCGAACAGUUUUGGGCUAAAAUCAUCCUUGAAGUAUAACCCAAACUUAGUAUACAUCCUUAUACUAUAAUUAUGAACAAAAACAUCUUUUAACUAUACCAAACUUGACAACAAACAUCCUUCUGUUAAUUUUUGUUAAAAACCUAAGAGCUGAAAUUAAAAAAAUGUGUCACUGACAAUACUAAGUUGCCUUGUCUUCAAGUUGGAAAUACAAAACAACAAAAAUAUACUUAGGACCUGUUUAGAAGGACACCCUGGUAAUUGGAUUUGGUGUAAUUGAAUGUAAUUACAUUGUCUGUCCUGUUUGGUUGGACAGGUAAUUAGUAGGUCAAUAGGUAAUGGGUGUAAUUGGUAGGGUAAUUACACUCUACAAUUCACAAGCAGAGGUUGUGAAGUGUAAUUACCAGCUGAUUACUUUUUUAAAAAAAAAUUUAUUUCUAUUUUUAUUUUUUUGUUUUAAUUUUUUUACUUCUAUUAUUUUAAGUUUUUAUUUUAUUAUUAUUCUAAAAAAAAUUGAAAAUUUAUUUUUUAUUUUAUAUUAUUAUAUUUCAUUUUCUUCUUGUUCUCAACCUUACUUUACAUGAUUUUAUGCAUUUUUUUCGUAUUAUCUAUUUAUUUAUGCCAUGCUUAUUUUCUCAUUAGCAUAAUUUUAUUAGUAUUCUAAUUUUUAAAUUAAAAUAGAAUUUAUUGUUAAGUAAGGUUAAAGACUUACGUUUUCUUUUUUAAGAAAAAAAUAAAAAUAAAUAUAUUUAUGCAUGCUAUGUUCAAAUUUGCUAUAAGAGUAUCAUGUUAAAUUUUUUGUUUUGAAUUUAUAACUUAUGUUAUAUUUUCAGUUUCAUUUGUUUUAGUAAUAUUGAAUUCAUAUUGCACGUCAUUUUUUAAUUAAACUUGAUAGAUUAUCUUUUUGUCAAACAUUUAAUAAUUUAUGACAUUUUAUUUAUAUAUUAAUCUUUUUUAUCAAACAUGCAUUUCACGAUGUUCGUAGAAACUUCAUACUUGUAGUUUCUACGAUCAAUUCAAUUGAAAUAUAUUAAUUUGAAAAAAAUAAAUCAAUUAUUUUUUCAUAAUAUAGGUUAAAGAAUAUAUGUUUUAUAUCUUAAUUAUUUAAUUUAAUGUCAUUUAUAAAGUUUCUUAUUUGUCUAGUAUCAAUUUUUAAAUAAUUAAUUUUUUAUUUUUUAAAAAUUUAAUAUAAUUUUAUGAUUGCAAUUGUCCAUCCAAACAGAACAUGCGUAAUUACACUGUGGCAUCCAAACAGGACAUGUUACCAUAUAUUGUGGCAACCAAACAAGUCAGUGUAAUUACUAGACAGUGUAAUUAAUAGGAUGGUAAUUACUACCCUAGUAAUUACACCAAUUUCAAUUACCAGGUGGCUUUCCAAACAAACCCUUAGUAAAACAACACCAAAACCAACUGAGGCACACAAAGACAAGUUAUAGAAACCAGCCCUAGCUUCAGUUAUUCUUGAAAACAACUUAUUUGGUUGCUAAAGUUUAGAAGGACAGAAAAUUUUGUUUUUGAAGCCAAAAGCUCUGCUAAAUAUGGAAGAUGAUCCGGUGGGAAUUGAGAGGAAAUCAAUUCGAUAGAAUAUGGAGAUUUUGGGAAGUCACAUAUUUUUAUUUCAACUUUUCGUUUUUUAACAAAAGUUAACACAAGGAUGGUUAUUGCAAAGUUUUGGGUAGGUAAAAUUGUGAAAUUAGGUAUUAGACUUAACUCACACCUCAAAAACUAACAAAAGUUAACAGAAAGAUGGUUAUUGUAAAGUUUUGGAUAGUUAAAAUUGAAGUUUACAGAAGGAUGGUUAUUGCAAAGUUUUGGAUAGUUAAAAUUGUGAAAUUAGGUCUCAGACUUAACUCACACCCCAAAAGGAGGAGGAUUGCACAAGUUGCGUGGGCAAUUUUGGACAAUUUUGUUUUCGGGAAAAUUGUAUAAAAUAAAAAACUAUUAAUUUAAAUUAAAUGUUGUAACCAAAGUUUGAUUUAAUUGUAACCCGUAGCAAACAGUUGUCAUUCGCCUCUCUCCUUAGAUUUCUCGCUCGCCAGUCUCUCCCUCGCCUCUCUCACUUUAUACAAACACAAAUGUAUAAAUUGCGUUUGUGUUUGUAUAAAGCGAGAGAAAACUACAUAUACAAAUACAUAUAUUUUCGUCUUAUACACUUCUAAUUAUACAAAUACAGAUCUUCCUCAGUGCAGUUCUCUUCUGCCUUUCUCUCUUUCUCGCUUUUGUAUAAAGCGAGAGAGAGAGAUUUGAUAAACAAAUGUGUUUUAUUUCGAUUCAAUUGUAUACAAAUUCAAAUUUUAUGCAGAUAUGCAAACACAUAGAAUUGAAUUGAGAGGCUGCCAACGAUUUAUACAAACGAGAGGCUGCCAGCGAUUUAUACAAAUGAGAGGAUGCCAAUGAUACAAAUCUGAUGCUUCAUAGCACUCUAUAGCUACAACUUACAAAUAUAAUUUUUAUAUUUGCUAAUCCUAAAAUUUACUCUUUUUUAUUAUUUUUUUGGGCCCCAACAUAAGGUGAGAUGGGUCCUGCUCUGAUAUCAUGUGAAAUUAGGUUUUAGGCCUAACUCACACCUUAAAAGUUAGCUCAGAGGAAGCAAGAUUGACCAAGCCUUAUAAGUAGUUCAUCCAUCUCAUUAACCACAAAUGUGAGACUUUUUGCUUUUAACAAAAAUAUGUUUUUUUGAUUCGCAAUUAUAGUAUAGGGAUUUAUCCUAAGUUUGGGCUAUAAUUCAAGAGUGAUUUUAGCUUAAAAGUCCCCUUAACAACAAGGUGGUACAUCCCAGUGGUUAAAGGCUCUACGGAAAUGCCCAGACGUAGUGUGAGCGUUAAAUUACUUUCUAAAUAAUAGUUAAUAAAUUCGUUAUUUUUGAAAUAAUUCAAAUUUCAAUGAAUUUGACUUUGACUUUGACUUUCCAUUUCUUUUCAUUAAAAAUUUAAAAUAAAACUUAUACAUAAUUAUUUAAUUUAAAGUUAAUAAGCAACUUCUAAAAAAAUUCUAUAUCAUUGCUAAAAUUGAAUAAAAGAAGACCUCGUUUGAUUCUGCUUCCUUUUUCAUGUUUCGUUGUUAUUGUUGUUUUCAUCAAGGUCGAUGAAAGCUUGAAAUGUAAAAAUGAUUUCAUUUUAAGUUGAAUUUACUCCUACUCCCUCCUUUUAUUUUUCUGCUAUUUUGUUCACUUUAUAUCAAAUUAAACAAAAACAUUAUACAAUUUGAUUUUCAAAAUUUUGGUACGUUUAUUCAUACAAAAAUAUUAUUAUUACGCAGUGUGAAUUUAAAAUUUUUAGUGCACCCAUUCAUCAAAAAAAAAAAUUGCUUAUGUUAUUUUUGAACAUGCUUCAUGAAAUUUCUAAUUCCCCACUUAGCCAACUCAAUCAAAAAAUACCCUUCUCCCAUACCAUAAAAAGAGGGAAAAAAUAAUUAAAACUUGCUAAUCUCAAGAUUAUAGCUCAACAAAUACCAAGAACGUCAAAAAAAAAAAAGAUUUUUCAAAAAGAUAUUUAUAAGUAACUUAUAAAUUCGAAACUAAAAAUUAUAAAUCGGUAACACUUAACUUUUGACCCUUUUUUUGGGGUGUGUUGUCAGCCUUAAAGCUUUUUGCGUUUACAAAUACUUCUAAAACUUAAAAGAAAAAAAAGAAGAAGCUAAAUAUCACUUAAAAUAAGCUAAUUCAUAUACACUUGUUUAAUUUUUCUACAUGAAAUAAAUAAAUAUUAAUUAAGAGAAAUGAAUAUACCUUGAAGGAGGGUUCAUGGGAGGUGAGUGCAAGAUGGUAUUUUUGCUGAUAAGUUUCUAAAGAUUGGAAUUUUGAGUAGAAAAUAACAAUUAGGUUUUGGUUGCUUUUUGGUAUCAAAGUGAGGGAGAAUGGUUAAGAGAGAGAGAAAAAAAGUGAAGAGACAACGAAAAAUUAUAUGAUGGGUUUAACAUGGUAGGUGAGGGAUUAUUUUUUAAUAAAAAAUGUGUGUGCCUAGAAAUAAGUUAUAAAUAAUUUUUUAGAGAUAAAAAACCAUCCUUACCAACGGAUCACUUAUAGUUUCAGAUCUAUACCAAUGCUCUAUCACAAAUUCUCCCAACUGGCGGCGGCAAUCCGGUGGCAAAUCGAUGGUGGACUGGUAAUUUAUGAUUUCAUUAUGUAUUAUUGAGAUGCGAAAUUUUUUGAAUAAGUAUCCUACAUCUAAUUAAAGUGAUGAUUUGGAGUUGAAUAAUUAAAAUUUAAUUACAAACAAAUAAGACUAUUAAACAUAAAAGCAGUAGUUCAUUUUUUCCUAAUUUUGGAUAUAAGAAAAAUAGAAAAUCAUAAUUUUGGAUAUUCUAGAGUCUUUUAGUGAAAGAUAAAAAGUUCAAGUAUUUCUGAGUCUUAGCACUUUUAGUUAUGUGAUUAUAGAAAGAUUUUAAUUAUGAGAUAGAUUUGAUAUGACGGGGAAAUUCUUCAAAUAAGAUAGGUAAAACGCUCUCUUCGAAAGAUACAUACACUACAUCAAAAAUUAUAUUUAGCAACAAUUAGAUAAUGGUAAUAGUUUAAUUGCCGCUACAUAGAUAUAGUUUUAGACACUCUUUGUAAAUGUAUCUAAAGCCUAUAGCGACAUUAGAUCUAAUAAUAAUUAACUAAUGUGAGUAAAGACUUUAACACUCUUUAUUAAUGUGUAUAUUCCGUUAAAAGUAGUUGUUUUUUUUACAGUGAUACUUGUACUGCUUCUACCUCUCAAGGACUUACUAAUAUGUAUAUUUAUUGCGGCUAAAAGUUAUUUUUUGUUGUAUUGAUACUUGUACUGCUUCUGCCUCUCAAGGACUUUAUGCAUUGAACUUCCUUUAUAUCUUUAGUAUAAACAACUAUCUGUUGGUUGCAAUCAGUAUGAAAGCAUCUGAGUUGCUCUCUCCUUCUUCCUCUUUGCAGAAGCAUCACAGAUUCUUUUAGUCACCAACUCACUGAGAGAAGAGAUGAAUUGGGAAAAUUCGCAACGACUUUUCAAUAUUGUAACCAUCCCUAAAAUUUCGAUAGACAAAACUCCAGCUCUUCACACUGGAACGCGAAUUCCACAAAAUUUUCAUUAGCUUGCAGAGAUUCACAGAUGAACCUAACAUGCUAGAUGUCAACUCAGAAAGUCCAAACUCUGUUUGAAGAUGCUGCAUUUAUCCUUUCUCCACUGUACCUAACUGACAACUUUGAUGUCUGUGCCUCUGAGGUGCAAAACAAGAUUUUGUUGAUCAAGAAGGAAAUAAGUGCCAAAUACUCCUUUCCUAAAAUAUCAUUACAACUUUCAGCCAAGUUUGUUAGUGAUAUCAUCCAUUCUGUGCUAGAGAAUAUUGGUGGUCUAGUGAAGAUUCAUGAUCCAUAUUCACCUCUUUAUGUUCCCGAAACAGUAGUGGAACAUAUAGAAGAUGUUUCAAUGGAAUUGAAUUUGCUGCUAAAUUUCGUCUACUUUGUUUCAGAGAGGUUCCUAGAGAAUCAGAGCCAACAUCAUAUUAUUUUCUUCACUCAUGUUUUAGCUGUGUCUGUCCACACAUCGAUGCUUCUCUGGUUGUAUUUACCGGACUUGGAUCCUGAGCAAAUGAAUGUUAUGCUUUCUGAUUUCUUGCGAAUGAGGAUUAAGCCGAUUCAACCAUGCAUCUGCAAGAUCUAUCUUGAUGUCUUGCUAUCAUUAAAGUCGACAAUACAAUCAGGAUGGUAUCCCAACAUCCGAAAUGAGGAUGCAGUUGACAGCGAAGGGGGAUUUUUGGAGUACCAUCCUACACAAUAUGGUGGAGGUACCAACUAAUAGUAACUCUAGUCAGAGAGUUGCUUUGAAGGAUCACUUGGAAAUCCUUCAAAAGAUGCUCAACCUUUUUGAGAGCCAAUAUCUUCCGUGUGCCAAUAAAAGAUCUUGAAUUUCUCUUCGAGAUAUAGAGAUUUGUGGUUAUUGAUUGUUGGACUUCUGGUAUACUCAUUAUAUGAAGAUGAGGAGGAGAAGGAAGACAUGGCACCAGGAGGAGUGAACAUCCCACAAUUUCUUGAUUUGUCAAGCAACAUUCAACGUCUAAGCAUAGACAUCUACCUCACCAUUCGGAAGGCGUUCCAAUCUAAUUUGCCUAGGAUUCAUGGACUAGGCUAUGUUGAUUGCCAUUUAAACAACCUGAAGAAGUUCCAAAUCCUCCACUCAGAUUCACUAGCUUCUGUCAUGGACAAACUUCAAUCAAUUCAGAAGGAAUUUGAGAGCUUGCAACCUUUUCUACAGGCUGUUGCAGAAGAGCGACACAAUGACCUCGACGAAAUUCAACAUUGUGCUACACAAUUGAUUGGCAAAGCACAUGAGGUAGAAUACAUAGUUGAUGCUUGUAUAAGGGAAGAAGCUCCUGUCUGGUGCCUCGAGCAUUGGAUCAUACAUAUCAUGGAGGAGAUUACUCUUAUCAGAGAAGAGGUAGCAGAGAUCCGUGAAAAGAAAAUGGAUUUGGUAGCAUUGAACACUGUCCCAGUUCAUACAUCAAAUUUGGCAAGGUCUCCAAUGAUGAAUGAAGAAAUUAUUGGUUUUGAGGAUGUCAUAGAAAAGUUAAGAGACCAACUAAUAAAAGGCAAGAAAGGGCGCGAUGUUAUGUCAGUUGUUGGUAUGCCAGGUCUAGGCAAGACAACUUUGGCCUACAGACUCUACUAUGACAAGUCAGUCGCUUCGCACUUUGAAAUUCGUGCACAGUGUUGUGUGUCUCAAGUAUAUUCACGUAAGGACUUGUUAAUAGCAAUUUUACGUGAUGCUAUCAGUGAGAACUUUGAGUGUAGAGAAAAACAAGCUGAUGAAUUAGCUGAUCUUCUUCGCAAAACUUUAUUUUCCAAAAGAUAUCUCAUCCUUGUUGAUGAUGUGUGGGAAACUAGUGUGUGGGAUGAUCUAAGAGGUUCUUUCCGUGAUUCCAAUAACGGAAGUAGAAUUAUUCUAACAACGCGGGAUCAUGAAGUUGCCAUGUACACUAAAAUUCGAAGUGAUCCCCUUCUGCUUCGUAUGUUUAACAGUGAUGAAAGUUGGGAGUUACUCCGAAAAAAAGUGUUUGGUGAAGAAAGUUGCUCUCCACUCCUAACAGAAAUUGGGCAACAAAUAGCAAAUAAGUGUGGUCAACUGCCUCUUUCAGUUGUUUUGGUGGCUGGUAUUCUGGCUGAGAUGGAGAAGAAAGUAGAAUGUUGGGAACAAUUGGCCAACAAUUUAGGUCCUCACAUUCACAAAGACUCAAGGACCGUUAUAGAACAAAGUUAUCAGAUUUUACCCUAUCGUUUGAGGCCUUGCUUUCUUUACUUUGGAGCACUUUUAGAGGAUAGUGUGAUUAGUGUUCCAAAGUUAACACAGUUGUGGAUCUCAGAAGGAUUCGUAAAAAGUUGUGAAGGCAAGAGAUUGGAGGAUAUAGCAGAAGGCUAUUUGGAAAAUCUUAUUGGAAGAAAUCUAGUGAUGGGAACCAAGAGGAGUUCUCGUGGUAAGAUCAAAGCAUGUCACAUUCAUGACCUAUUGCAUGAUUUCUGCAAGGAGAGAGCAAAGGACGAUAUGCGUCUCCUAUGGCAAAAAUGGUAAUAUACCAAUCAUUGCUACUCUUUUCACUUAUAUUGACAUUUAAUCAUAUAAUUUUACUAAUUUCUGUAUAUAUUUGCAGGGAUCAAAAUGCCAAUCCGUCUUCUCGCCUUUCUGGUCACAAGCAACUAGCUCAUCGCAUGUGCAUUUAUGGUGAAGGGUAUCGUGCUGGAGAUUGGAGCUCGUGCUUGUCACAUGUUGUCUCUAUAAUUUUGCAUAACAAUCGUCUUUCAGUUGGCCUCGACUCGCACAUUUUCCACAGCUUCAAGUUUCUAAAAGUGUUAGAUAUGGAGUUCACUAGAAUUAGUUCUUUCUCAUUUGAUCUAGUCUACCUCAGGUAUUUUGCUGCAGAAACGUCUCGCUUUUCAAACAAAGCCGGUUGUCGGGAACUUGAAACUCUGAAAUUCAAAUCUCUCAGUGAAAUGUCACUACCCAUUACACUCUGGGAGAUGGAUAAAUUGAGACAUGUGGAUAUUUCCGAUUGCAGCUUCACCAGUGAAAUUUCAAGAGAAUUGAUUGAGAACUCCAAAGACCUUCAUGAUCUGCAAACUCUAUCCACUCCGUGUUUUUCUUGUGCACAGGAAGCGGAAUUGAUUUUGAGAAAAACACCUAAUCUUCUGGAACUGAGAUGCAAAGUCAAGGGUGUUGAUUACUUUCAGCGCUAUGUAUUGAACUUUCCAGCACGGAUUGAAACGCUCAAGAUUCAUCUUAGCUACACACCUGACACUAAAACAAUCCCCUUCCGCAUCUCCGCGCCAACUCUCACAAACUUGACACUGAAGAACUUUUACCUAUAUCAUCAGCAUUUAUCAGAAAUUGGUUCACUUCAGAACCUUCAAGUGCUCAGUCUGAAAGGUAUUUCCUUUAAAACUUAUAAAUGGGAAGUGCGCAAUGACGAGUUCCCUCAGCUCAGAGUCUUGAAAUUACAUGCUGGAAAAGUUCACUUUGAAAAUUGGUCUGUCGCGGAUGAUGCCUUUCCUAACCUUGAACGCUUGGUUUUGAGGGAUUGCAAAUUUCUUAAGGAGAUCCCUUCUUGGUUUGGAGAAAUCUCUUCUCUGAAGUCCAUUGAGGUAAGGAAUUGCAAUAAAAAUGUUGACAAGUCAGCCAGUGAUAUCAGGGAAACACAAGUUGAAGAUUACCAGAAUUCCAAGUUCGAGGUCUUUAUCACCAGAGAGAAUAACAAGUCAGAUUCAGGUACGCAACUCAUAAAAUUUAACUAUGACCAUUCUAAAACUCUGUGAAUUCAUUUCUUCUGUUACUCUAACUUCCUUUUUUAAAGGUAAAAUUCUUGAAAUAGCACCAAGGUUUGAAAUACUAUUGUGCACCUCGACUAAUUCUAUAGGUACCUACUACCUCUAACCGCACAUGUACUAGAUAACUGAUGAUCAAAAGAAAUCAACUAGUGACUUCAGAAGAGACCCAUGAGGUCUCAAGUUCAAAUCCAGUAGAGGCAAAAACACUAUGCGAUGAUGGGGAGAGUUACCAGGUACCUAUGUUGGUGGGAGAAAGCAGGUACCCCUAGAAUUACUCAAAAGUGCGCACAAGCUAGCCCAAAUACCAUGGUUAAUUAUACCAAAAAAAAAAAAAUCAUUGUGCUCUUACUUUCUGUUUGGGUAUGUUAUUGUAGUAGUACAACAUUUUUGAGCAAUUAACUCAUUGGAACCUUUUCUUUUUUAACAGAUUAUGAAGACUAGAGUUGUAUCAGGAGCUGUUUAGAAGAUCAGUAUGUACUUUUUUUAGAAGCUUAAUUAAGAAAUCAUGUACUUUUGGUCUUGAAUGUAUUGAGUAACAUUGAAUCCAUGUUGGACUAUAGUUAUUAUAUGAGCUAUUUAUAAUAUUUCUAAAUUUCUUUUUCUUCUUACGUUAGUCCAUUUACACUCAUCUUUCAUGCUAUGGAGGAAGAACUUUGACGUAACCGGUAAAGUUGUUGUCAUGUAACUAGAAGGUCAUGUACGAGUUCGACAUGUGGAAAAUACCUCUCGCAGAGAGUUUAGUGCAUUAGGCUACCCUAAUUUUGUACUCGUUUUGUAUUCCUUCCAAUGCCUGCUACUCAAACCCUCUAUCCUAUCUCGGGGUCACGUCAAGUAGAUUCCACUUUAGAGAUAAGUUUUUUAUCUUAAUCGAUCAAAAUAGAUUAAGACCGUCAAAAGUUACUUAGUCUCAUUCGAGAAUUUAAUCUCCUUAGUGUGACAAAGAGCCCAUUCAAUAGCAUUUGUGCCAGCUUGAAAGGACGUACUACCAUGAUAUCUAAUGCUCUCUCAAUGUCAAUAGGGACUCAACAACUUUUGGUAAAAUAUAAUAAAAGUAACGUCGAUAAGGAUUCAACGACUUUUUGGUGAAAUAAAAUAUAUAAAAGUAAAGUAACUACUUCCUAAAAUUAUCCAAUUUGUAGACCACAAGUUACCUUUGUCUAUGAACCUUUUUUGUUAACUUUAAUGAGUAAUUCAUUUGUUUAUUUCCCUCUUGUUAUUAAAGCUAAAGAAGUCUGGCAAUAAUUUAUACAACAUUUGGUAUGGUAGAAAAAAAAGUUAUUUAUAUAUAAAAUUAAUACAAGAUUUGGUUGACAAUUUAGUAACCCACAAUCCACAUAACUAAUAUUAUGAGUGAACCUAUAUAUUAUUUUAUGCAUGAUAGAAGGUGGAAUAACUAAUACAUGAAAAACUAAUUCCAUAUAAAAUAAUGGCUUAAGUCAUCAGUGGCCCCUUAAAGUUGUCCGCAUAAUUCACUUAGACACCUCAUCUAAGGCUUGUAUCUAUUGAACACCUCUACCAUUCUGAAUUUGAACCAUUUGAACAUUUUUUUGAGAAUAAGCCAAAAGUAGAAAAUGUGUGAAAUACACUCGCGCUGACAUGUCAAUUUGACUAAUUAUAUACUGACAUGUGUAAUUUUUUAAUCCAAAAAAUUAUUUAAACAUUAUAUUAAAAGUAAAAAAAAAAGGAAAUUAUUUUAAAGUUAAAAAAAAAUGAAAAAAAACUUGAACUUAAACCACCCCACUUCCCCUGCUAUCCACUGAAGCCCAACUCACAUUUCCCUCUACAAUACCACCCCGUUAAUGGCGACCCUCCCUCUCCCUGUACAGUGCCAUCUCCAACACGACAAAUCUUCUUUUCCAUUAGCCUAUUUUUCAAUUAUAACUUUCUUCUUCGUCUCGUUUUAGGUAGAGAAAGAUGGGGAAAAAAAUCUCGCCGGAAAAUUAAUAAGUUCCGAUUGUCAUUGUCGGAAAAAAUGGAGUUAUUUCGAUUUUUUUGUGUUUCAUAAGAACAUCCUUACAUUCUGCCAAUAUACAUCAAUUUAAAGUCAAAACAACACAUUCAGGACAAAUCAAAAAACUUCAAUAAAAAUUUGACCAAAGCAAAUAAUAAAUAAAAAUUUAACACCAAAUUACUAAAUUAACAGCAAAGAGACAGACCCAAAACUUAAAGCACUUUACAAAUUAAACAUGAUGAAAAUGACGGUGAUAAUGGUGGAAUGGUGGUCAGCCAAUCCUAAUAUGGAGGACAACGGAGGAAGGGAUGCCAAAGAAGAUGAAGAAGAAAUAAUAUUUUUUUUCCAAAAAAAAAACGCUCAAUUUAAAACCUUUCACGCGCCUAAAGGGUGUGAAUCACAAACAAUGUGCCACCUAGGCAAAAAAUGUUCAAAUGGAUCAAAUUCAGAAUGGUAGAGGUGUUCAAUAGGUACAAACCUUAGUUGAGGUGUCUAAGUGAAUUAUGCAGACAACUUUAAGGGGCCUCAGAUGACUUAAGUCUAAAAUAAUACAUUGGUUCACUCAUAACUAAUUAAUACAUUACUAAUAUGUACAUAACUCUAACCAGCUACCAAACGAUAAUUGUGUGAGGUAAAUUUGGUUAGUUUUAAUUGACUAUUGAGAUGCCCAUCACAUGUUUGAUAAAAUGCCUGAAAGAGAUUGAAAGCAUGUGUGUGUGUGUCCAUUUGCAUCCCCUUAAUUAAUAUUCAUGUGAUCAAGGGUGUUUGAAAAUUGAAACUGCAGUAUAUAUCUCUAAGAAGUUGUUUUUGAUCGAUAUUCAUAGUAUUAUCUUCUAUAUGCAUAGUAUAAUAUUUCGACAAAGGGUGUUCGAGUGACCACCCUUAGGUCAAUGUAGCUAUGCGAAAAGCAAUAGAUCCCAUGAAUGCUAGAACAUUUGGAAGUUUUAUCAUCCUUAGUAGCUGAAAUCCAUACUGUAUCACUCGUCGAAGCCAGAGAUUGAUCUAAGUAUUCAUUUUUUGAGUGAUUCUAUACUCUUAAUUGUUUAGUUCCUUAUAUUGUGCUCCUUGCAAGUUGAACUAUAAUUAUAUAUAUGAACUGUCUUUAGUAUUUCUAGGCUUUUAUUUUCUUCUUUUAAUAGAUACUCUUCGAUUUGUGAACUAUAAACAUAUUGCAGCACUUUUAUUUACCGUUUUCUUGUGUGAUUAUUCAGAUCUAAUGAUUGUUUGAGCUUCUCUAAUCAGUUUUUUUUCCCUCCGUAGGAGCUCCCACUUUCUUUGCUCCCUUGGUGACUCGAACUCACAACGUUACUAUGGGAAGUGAGGGGUGUUUACCAUCCGAGCAACUCCCUCUUAUCAGUUACAUAUUAAGAAAAGGCUUAAUAGUUCGGGAUCCCCUGAACUUGACACCUUUUGUUCGGUGUACACCUGAACUAUUCUAAAUGGCCUAGUCUCAGCAAGUAGUUCUCUUUAUAGUCAGUCAAAACACUUCCAAGAAUAAAACUCUGUUACUUCCUAGAUUAUAAGUCUAGCUAUCUGAAUAGGGCCCAAGCUGGUUCAUACUUCUUAUCUUAAUAAUAAAGGUGAGUCAUCCUAGGAUUAGCAGUCAGAGAGAGAAUGCUGAGUUCACACGGGACACUAGCUGUUAAUUAAUCGGCUCAACUAAUUAAUCAUGUCAUCAAGUUGCUUUUAGUGUAUAAUAAUGAAUUGUUUAUCUUAUAAUGUGGGCAAUAAUGGAGUAGCAUAUUAAGAUAUAUUAUGCUUUUGUGACUUGAACAAACUUGCCAAUUCAAAAUUGAUUUUUAAGCUUAUGUCAGUGGCCCUACACUUGAGAAACUAGUGUGUUGUACAGUUGAUAAAAUGUUACUUAGCAUGUAAUGUCGUAGUAUCAAACAUCUGAGUUCAAAAUUCAUCACAGAUUCUUUUAGUCACCUACUUUUGAGAGAAGAUGUCUUGGGAACGAAUUCAACAACUUUCCGAUAUGUUAAACUUCCCUAAAACUUCAAUAGAUAGUGUCAUGCUCUUUACACUGGAACGCAAAUUCUGUGAUAUUUUCAUUAGCUUGCAGAGUUUCACAGAUGAACCUAACAUGCUGGAUGUCACUCGGAAAAUCCAAACUCUAUUUCAAGAUGCUGUAUUUGACCUUUCUCCACUGUACCUAACUGAGUACUUUGAUCUCUAUGCCUCUGAGGUUCAAAGCAAGAUUUUAUUGACCAAGAGGGAAAUUAGAGCCAAAUACUCCUUUCCUAAAAUAUCAUUACAACUUCCAGCCAAGUUUGUUAAGGAUAUCAUCCCUUCUGUGCUAGAGAAUAUUGGUGGUCUAGUGAAGAUUCAUGAUCCAUAUUCACCUCUUUAUAUUCCCGAAACAGUAUUGGAACAUAUAGAAGAUGUUUCAAAGGAAUUGAAAUUGCUGCUAAAUUUUGUCUGCUUUGCAGCAGAGAAGUUCAUAGAGCCUCAGAGCCAACAUCAUGUUAAUUUCCUCACUCAUGUUUUAGCUGUGUCCGGCCACAUAUCAACGCUUAUCUGGAUGUAUUUACCAGACUUGGCUCCAGAGCAAAUGAAUGUUAUGCUUUCUGAUUUCUUGCGAAUGAGGAUUAAGCCAAUUCAACCAUGCAUCUGCAAGAUCUAUGUUGAUGUCUUGCUAUCAUUAAAGUCGACAAUACAAUCAGGAUGGUGUACCAACAUCGGAAGUGAGGAUGUAAUUGACAGUGAAGGCAGGUUUUUGGAGACCAUCGUACACAAUUUGGUGGAGGUGCCAACUAAUAGUAACUCUAGUCAGAGAGUUGCUUUGAAGGAUCACUUGGAAAUCCUUCAAAAGAUGCUCAACCUUUUGAGAGCCAAGUUCUUGAUUUGUCACCGAGAGGAGUGAACAUCACACAAGUUCUUGAUUUGUUAAGCAACAUUCAACGUCUAAGCAUAGACAUCUACCUCACCAUUCGGAAGGCGUUCCAAUCUAAUUUGCCUAGGAUUCAUGGACUAGGCUAUGUUGAUUGCCUUUUAAACAACCUGAAGAAGUUCCAAAUCCUCCAGUCAGAUUCACUAGCUUCUGUCAUGGACAAACUUCAAUUACUUCAGAAGGAAUUUGAGAACUUGCAACCUUUUCUACAGGUUGUUGCAGAAGAGCGAAACAAUGACCUCGACGAAAUUCAACGUUGUGCUACACAAUUGAUUGGCAAAGCACAUGAGGUAGAAUACAUAGUUGAUGCUUGUAUAAGCAAAAAAGCUCCUGAACUCCCAUCUUGUUGGUGAGACUUUGAUUCCCCACAUCGUGAUUCUUCCUCAUUUCCCCUUCCCCUACGAAUUUUUUUUAAAAAUAAAAUAAAAAUUUAAACUAACAAUACAGUACAAUAUAAUUGAUAUCAACCAUCCAAACAAGGUGCAACGGGUUGUCUGGUAGCUGUAUGAGAAACAAAUUAUCCAUAUGUUAAUUUUCGUAUAAUUUAUAUGAUGUUUCAUAGGUAGAUAAAUUAUAACUUCGUAUAAUUUAAAGACUAACUUUUGACUCAUAAGUUAAAAAUUAUAACUUGUGAUUUUUUUAACAUUUUACCUUAAAAUCAAUUGCUUAUAAGUACUUUAAUAGUUUACCUAAAUUAACACUUCAAAAGUCGUUAGAUAAAGUGUAUAAGAACAAUGCUAAAUAAAAUGUAUUAGUAAUGCUUGCAUCAAUUAUACAUAGAUUAUUUUCAUGCAUUAAAAAUUUACAAAGAUAUGUUUCACUAUUAUGGUGGAAAAGAUGUAAAAAAAAAAGAAAGAUUUUGAGGGGGCAAUUGAGUGAUUAAUCAUGCUAAUGCAUGCAUUAAAACGAUUGCAUUGCGAAUAUUUAGAAAUUCAUGGUAUUAGCAAUACACAGCUAUACAUAGAUUAGAAAAGAGUAGCAAACAAAGUAGUAGUAAUAGACAAGGGUAAUGCAUGCAUUAUUUUCUAAAUAACGACAACUAAAGGAGAGAAUGGAUAAUAAGUAGCAAGCAGAGCUCAUAGCAUAGAGUCUAUUCUGGUAGGCAAUCUUGUGAAGAAAUUGAGUGGAGCAGAUGGUAGGUUGUGAUGGAACCAUGGAUGUCUUAACACAUAAAAUCCAGUGACAAGAAUCACAACUCGAAAACCCAUGAAAUAGAGAACAAUGACAGCAAUCAAGCAGGAAAUAACAAACAGUUUGGUCACUCUAGGGUCUCUCCAUG
rnacentral:lncRNA from 1 species